ACAUGCCUACAACAUAGCUUUAAUGCAUGGGAUCCCAUUAGAACUCCAUAGUUAAGUGCCCUUAGGCUAGAGUAGUAUUGGGAUGGGUGACCGCCCAGGAAGUCCUAGUAUUUUACAUGCC
rnacentral:rRNA from 1 species